rnacentral:rRNA from 1 species
AGUGAACGCUGGCGGUAGGCCUAACACAUGCAAGUCGAACGGCAGCACAGUAAGAGCUUGCUCUUACGGGUGGCGAGUGGCGGACGGGUGAGGAAUACAUCGGAAUCUACUUUUUCGUGGGGGAUAACGUAGGGAAACUUACGCUAAUACCGCAUACGACCUACGGGUGAAUGCAGGGGAUCUUCGGACCUUGCGCGAUUGAAUGAGCCGAUGUCGGAUUAGCUAGUUGGCGGGGUAAAGGCCCACCAAGGCGACGAUCCGUAGCUGGUCUGAGAGGAUGAUCAGCCACACUGGAACUGAGACACGGUCCAGACUCCUACGGGAGGCAGCAGUGGGGAAUAUUGGGCAAUGGGCGCAAGCCUGAUCCAGCCAUACCGCGUGGGUGAAGAAGGCCUUCGGGUUGUAAAGCCCUUUUGUUGGGAAAGAAAAGCAGCAGGUUAAUACCCCGCUGUUCUGACGGUACCCAAAGAAUAAGCACCGGCUAACUUCGUG